rnacentral:rRNA from 1 species
GGAAGGCAGCAGGCGCGCAAAUUACCCAAUCCCGACACGGGGAGGUAGUGACAAUAAAUACUGAUACAGGGCUCUUUUGGGUCUUGUAAUUGGAAUGAGUACAAUUUAAAUCCCUUAACGAGGAACAAUUGGAGGGCAAGUCUGGUGCCAGCAGCCGCGGUAAUUCCAGCUCCAAUAGCGUAUAUUAAAGUUGUUGCAGUUAAAAAGCUCGUAGUUGAACCUUGGGCCUGGCUGGCCGGUCCGCCUCACCGCGUGCACUGGUCCGGCCGGGUCUUUCCUUCUGAGGAGCCGCAUGCCCUUCACUGGGUGUGUCGGGGAAUCAGGACUUUUACUUUGAAAAAAUUAGAGUGUUCAAAGCAGGCCUAUGCUCGAAUACAUUAGCAUGGAAUAAUAGAAUAGGACGUGUGGUUCUAUUUUGUUGGUUUCUAGGACCGCCGUAAUGAUUAAUAGGGUUAGUCGGGGGCAUCAGUAUUCAAUUGUCAGAGGUGAAAUUCUUGGAUUUAUUGAAGACUAACUACUGCGAAAGCAUUUGCCAAGGAUGUUUUCAUUAAUCAGUGAACGAAAGUUAGGGGAUCGAAGACGAUCAGAUACCGUCGUAGUCUUAACCAUAAACUAUGCCGACUAGGGAUCGGGCGAUGUUAUCUUUUUGACUCGCUCGGC